rnacentral:rRNA from 1 species
CUACGGGAGGCAGCAGUGAGGAAUAUUGGUCAAUGGACGAGAGUCUGAACCAGCCAAGUAGCGUGAAGGAUGAAGGUUUAUGGAUUGUAAACUUCUUUUAUACGGGAAUAACGAAUCCCCGCGUGGAUUUUUGCAUGUACCGUAUGAAUAAGGAUCGGCUAACUCCGUGCCAGCAGCCGCGGUAAUACGGAGGAUCCGAGCGUUAUCCGGAUUUAUUGGGUUUAAAGGGAGCGUAGAUGGGUUGUUAAGUCAGUUGUGAAAGUUUGCGGCUCAACCGUAAAAUUGCAAUUGAUACUGGCAGUCUUGAGUACAGUUGAGGUAGGCGGAAUU